rnacentral:ncRNA from 1 species
UACAUUUGCAACUUCAAUGAAAAAAAUCAUUGAUGUACAUAAAAUCAUUUAAAUAAUAUUGGCAUG